CCAAUAGCGUAUAUUAAAGUUGUUGCAGUUAAAAAGCUCGUAGUUGAAUUUCGGGGUUAGCAGGUCGGUCGUGCCAUUGGUAUGAACUGGUCUCGCUGAUCCCUCCCUCUUGACGAACUGUGAUGCCAUUAAUUUGGUGUCUCAGGGAAUCAGGACUGUUACUUUGAAAAAAUUAGAGUGUUUAAAGCAGGCUUUAGCUUGAAUACAUUAGCAUGGAAUAAUGAAAUAGGACGUUUGAUCCUAUUUUGUUGGUUUCUAGGAUUGACGUAAUGAUUAAUAGGGAUAGUUGGGGGCAUUAGUAUUCAAUUGUCAGAGGUGAAAUUCUUGGAUUUAUUGAAGACUAACUACUGCGAAAGCAUUUGCCAAGGAUGUUUUCAUUAAUCAAGAACGAAAGUUAGGGGAUCGAAGACGAUCAGAUACCGUCGUAGUCUUAACCAUAAACUAUGCCGACUAGGGAUCGGAUGAUGUUAAUUUUUUAAUGACUCAUUCGGCGCCUUACG
rnacentral:misc_RNA from 1 species